GCGGCGGGUGUCCAGUGAUUCAGCCACAUGUGAUAGAUGACCAAGUGACUGCUUUCUUGGGGUCCGCACAUCAGUGGAAGACACCCAAACUAGUUGUGGCUGACUUGAUCAAACUCUGGCUUCCUGAACUGGAAUGAAAAGCAGAUAACUCUUUAGAAAACUUUCGUAGGAAAAGCACCUCGUGUGAUCUGGAACAAAGACAUUUUAUAAUCAGAUUUAUCAAGCUGUGAAGAGGGAGUUUUAGCGAACGGAAGCAGCAGCCUUCUGUCACCAAGAAAUACUGCUUUAUCCAGAAUUGAACAGUGUCCUGUGAGAUAGGAAGUGACAAAUACCAACCUGGUGGUGCAGAAGAAAUCAAGAUAAGAGGGAUGCGUGUGUGAGGAGAAAGAUUUUCUACAAUGUCUGAAUGAAUUAAUGCAGCACACUGCUCACAAAUUUAAGGAACCAGGUCAUGAGGCACAAACUGGAAAUUCUCCUUAGAGUUUUUGUUAUGAGACUUUAUGGUGGAGAGUUAACACUAGCAUGCAUUGCCAAAGAUUAGGCCAACUGUAUGAGUUUCCUGUUGCUGCCGUAAGAAAUUACCACAAAUUUAGUGACCCAAAACAAUACUAAUUUAUUAUGUUACAGUUCUGGAGGUCAGAAGUCCAAAAUCAGUCUAACUGGACUAAAGUCGAGGUGUCAGCAGGGAUGGUUCCUUUUGGAGGCUCUGAGGACAGAAUCCAUUCCCUUCCCUUUUUGAGUGAUUCUAGAGGC